UACGUAGGGCGCAAGCGUUGUCCGGAAUUAUUGGGCGUAAAGAGCUCGUAGGCGGCUUGUCGCGUCGGCUGUGAAAACCUGGGGCUCAACCCUGGGCCUGCAGCCGAUACGGGCAAGCUAGAAUUCGGUAGGGGAGACUGGAAUUCCUGGUGUAGCGGUGAAAUGCGCAGAUAUCAGGAGGAACACCGGUGGCGAAGGCGGGUCUCUGGGCCGAUAUUGACGCUGAGGAGCGAAAGCGUGGGGAGCGAACAGG
rnacentral:rRNA from 1 species